GACGAACGCUGGCGGCGUGCUUAACACAUGCAAGUCGAACGGAAAGGCCCUGAUUUUGUGGGUUGCACGAGUGGCGCACGGGUGAGUAACACGUGAGUAACCUGCCCUUGACUUUGGGAUAACUUCUGGAAACUGGGGCUAAUACCGGAUAGGACCUCCUGCUGCAUGGUGGGGGUUGGAAAGUUUCGGCUGUUCGGGCUGGAAUAGCGGCUUAUCCGCUUGUUGGUGGAGUAGUGGAUUACCAAGGCUUUGACGGGUAGCCGGCCUGAGAGGGUGACCGGGGACAUUGGUACUGAGAGAGGGCGCAGACUGCUACGGGAGGCAGCAGGGGGAAAUAUGGCGCAACGGGCGGAAGCCAGAUGCAGCGAUGCCGGGUUCGGGAUGACGGCCUUCGGGUUGUAAACCGCUGUCUCCUGUGACGAAGCGUGAGUGACGGUAAUGGGUAAAGAAGCACCGGCUAACUACGUG
rnacentral:rRNA from 1 species